UGAAUGGCCGCGGUACCUUGACCGUGCUAAGGUAGCGUAAUCAGUUGGCUUUUAAAUGGAGUCAGGAAUGAAUGGGAAAACCGGGUUUAGCUGUCUCCAGACUAUUUUUUUGAAUUUACUGUUUAAGUGAACAAGCUUAAAAUUAAUAAAGGGACGAGAAGACCCUUAGAAUUUUUUUUAAAAUGCAACAUUUUUUCAUAAUAAUUUUGUUGGGGCGACAGAGAAAUAUUUAAAACUUUCUUUAAAUUUACAUGCCGAUAUUGGUAAGCCAGAAUAAAUUACCUAAGGGAUAACAGCAUUAUUCUACA
rnacentral:rRNA from 1 species